rfam:Hordeum vulgare subsp. vulgare, WGS project CAJW01000000 data, contig: morex_contig_1509688
AGGAGCCGUAUGAGAUGAAAACCUCAUGUACGGUUUUGGAACGGAGAUUUUUGGAAUAGAAUGAACGACCGUAAC